GCAGACAUAGUUUAGUGGUAAAACAAUAGCUUCCCAAGCUGUGGUCGAGGGUUCGAUUCCCUUUGUCUGCUCCA
rnacentral:tRNA from 1 species